CUGAAGAUUCUGGCAUCAGGAAAAUUCUCCCGAAAUCUGAAAUAUGCGAUUUUGAGUUUGAUCCUUGCGGCUACUCUAUGAACUCUAUUGAAGGGGAUGCAGUUUCUACCAUUCAUGUGACACCUGAGGAUGGUUUCAGCUACGCUAGCUUUGAAACAGUGGGCUACAACUUCAAGGAUGUCAACUUGACUCGUCUCAUUGAGAGGGUUCUGGACUGUUUCAAACCAGCUGAGUUCUCUGUGUCUCUGCAUUCCACCAUUGCUGCCAGUGAAGAACUUGAGUUCCCUCUGGAAUUGAGCGGAUAUUGUUGCGGAUCAACAAGCUAUGAAGAGCUGGGUCUAGGAGGUGC
rnacentral:lncRNA from 1 species